CUAGUAGGUGGGGUAACGGCUCACCUAGGCGACGAUCCCUAGCUGGUCUGAGAGGAUGACCAGCCACACUGGAACUGAGACACGGUCCAGACUCCUACGGGAGGCAGCAGUGGGGAAUAUUGCACAAUGGGCGCAAGCCUGAUGCAGCCAUGCCGCGUGUAUGAAGAAGGCCUUCGGGUUGUAAAGUACUUUCAGCGGGGAGGAAGGCGAUAAGGUUAAUAACCUUGUCGAUUGACGUUACCCGCAGAAGAAGCACCGGCUAACUCCGUGCCAGCAGCCGCGGUAAUACGGAGGGUGCAAGCGUUAAUCGGAAUUACUGGGCGUAAAGCGCACGCAGGCGGUCUGUCAAGUCGGAUG
rnacentral:rRNA from 1 species